rnacentral:rRNA from 1 species
UACGUAGGGGGCAAGCGUUGUCCGGAUUCAUUGGGCGUAAAGAGCUCGUAGGCGGUUCGAUAAGUCGGGUGUGAAACCUCCAGGCUCAACCUGGAGACGCCACCCGAUACUGUCGUGACUAGAGUCCAGUAGGGGAGCGUGGAAUUCCUGGUGUAGCGGUGAAAUGCGCAGAUAUCAGGAGGAACACCAGCGGCGAAGGCGGCGCUCUGGGCUGGAACUGACGCUGAGACGCGAAAGCGUGGGGAGCGAACAGG